UGCAUGGGCAAUUUGUGUCUACAAUUUUAAGACAAGGGAUUUUCUAAUGGCUUCAAGGAAUUUUUUUUUCCCCUCCAGAUAAAAUGACAAGCUUCCAGCCUUCGGACUUGGAAAGGAAGGGAAGUUACUUAAAUCUAGUAUCUUCCAUAUGCCUGGGGCUAUUUCAAGAACAACAAAUCUCUGCAUGUUUAAAAACAGUGCUGUGGAAAUUAGAGCUACAGGUAAUAUUAUUUUCUCUUCUGGGAAUGCACCCCAUCAAGGGUCAGACUCCACGCUUCCCACCUUCUCCAGUCUCAGGCACUUCCUGGCCUCUGAGGUCAGAAUUCCCAUAAAUUUCAGGACCUGACAUUUUCUCAGGGCAGAGGUGAGACCCAGGAAGAAGAGACCCCACAAUCACAUCUUCAUAAACUCAAACAAAGCAGACUUGCAGGGUUUACAUUUUAAGCCUAUGAAUCUUCUUCGUGAUAGUUCUCAUGUCUCUUGAAAUAAACAAUGUGGGAAGAAAAAUAUUAUGGUCUCUAUUUGCAGCAUUUUGUUCUGAAAAUAACUUGGACAGGAGAGGUGAACCAGUGGUACAUGUGCGGGCAAAGCUCUCUGACUUCACUGCACAAUCGUCUCUUCCUCUUAAACAACCAGCUCCCAGUUACCACAAUACCCCUGUGUACAGAGGAAAGCCAAAAUUAAAAGGUCUCUUUAAUACUCCAGUGGCGAAUUUGGACACUUCACCAAAGAAAAGAGAUGGGUAG
rnacentral:lncRNA from 1 species